UACGUAGGGUGCGAGCGUUAAUCGGAAUUACUGGGCGUAAAGCGUGCGCAGGCGGUUUUGUAAGCCAGAUGUGAAAUCCCCGGGCUUAACCUGGGAAUGGCAUUUGGGACUGCAAGGCUUGAGUGCGGCAGAGGAGACUGGAAUCCUGGUGUAGCAGUGAAAUGCGUAGAUAUCAGGAGGAACACCGAUGGCGAAGGCAGGUCUCUGGGCUGACACUGACGCUCAUGCACGAAAGCGUGG
rnacentral:rRNA from 1 species